rnacentral:lncRNA from 1 species
UGUGAUGCUAAUGGACAGUUUCGUUCUCAUAGCUUACUGAAAACUAGACAAAAAUCGAGAAGUGAACUUAGGAUCUCUGUCGGAUACCAUUGACACUUGAACUCCAUAUAACCUGACUAUCUCUCGGAUAUACAUUCUUGAUAGCUUGUCAAGAGGUUGGUCAUCUUGAUAGCCAAGAAGUGAGAAGAUUUGAUGAGCUAGUCAACAAUUACUUAAAUGGUAUCAUGUCCUGACCAUACCUUAGGCAACCCUGUUAC